rnacentral:lncRNA from 1 species
UUUUUUUUUUUUUUUUGGUAAGUUCAGAGAAUGUAGUUAGGUGAGCUAUAUUGCAUGUUUUGCAGGACAAAUUUUCAAGUCACUCAAAUUCUGGGAGCAACCAAUAGGAGCCAACAGAGAAGCCAAAAUUGCAUGCACAUGUCUUAUUGAUUGGGAAGUUUUAAUUGAGAAAAUAAAUUACAAAAGUACAAUUUGAUGCCUAAUAUCUAAAUUGUGGUAAGCGUUACAGUAAUCAUACAAUAGAUCUAGUAGCAUUGCUGCAGUACAGAAACUGUUGCUCCUCAUAUAUUCUAUGAAUCAAGAGAGAAGCCUCGCAGGACAACACAUUGAAGUCUACAUAAUAUUGUUUAACUUAAUCUUUUUUAACUUUCCAAAUUUUAUACAAAUUGAAUCAUGAUGUUGAGUUUGCUGAGCCUUAUUCCAAUGCCAAUAGUACAAAGAUCCUAAUAUUAAUGCAAGAGUUGUUGUGAUAACACAACAUUUCAAAUAUCAUUGGCUUGCACCUGCUGGUACAGACUCUGACACACUUGUCAGCCAGUUAUCAGCAUGAUACAUGCUGAUGCAAAUUAAAUCCAUUGUUUACAAGUUCACUGAAAAAAUGCCAUACAACUUCCUAUCUAUAAGAAUAAAAGAAACAUUUACUCCUCAACAGGAACCACUCAGUUAAAGGUCCCUAACAAAACAACCAAAAGAGCAAGUCUUCAAGACUUCCAGAAAUUUACAAUUGCAUAAUAUAAAGAGUAAAUGAACAUCCUGAAGUUUUAUCAUAUAAAUUUGCCUUUGAAUGAAUUUUGGACACAAAGAAGAUUAUGACAUAAAAUAAAUCAGAAAACUUGAUUUCCCUAGUAUGUCACUGUAUUACGUCAAACAAUAAGAAAAAAAUAAUCUGUAUACAAGCUGUGAAGUUUGAUACUAUGAUUUUUUUCAUAAUAUUGUCAGCACAAGGAACGUGAAUCCUCGACCAAGUCCCACGCUUGGCUUGGCCAAUAUAGAGACUAAGUCAGAUGAUCUUUCUUUAAAACAAUAUCCAAAUCUCUCCUCUUACUAUACUACUGAGACAGACACAUUAUGCAUAAGCUCAACCUUACACACCAUAACUAAAGUAACCACCUCUAGCAAAAUAUGAGAUGAACCACCUCUCACUAAGAAGGGGAAGAAACAGUCACGAGAAAGCAUGUGCAAUAAUAAGCACAUGAAUUCAAAGCAGUGAAAUUGUCUAUUAAGGUGAGGUAAAUUUCAAAGGCAAAGAAGCUACCCUACUAACAGAAUAAAUACAGAUGAUUCUACUAACCAAAUCCUUUUCCAGAUUUCGAACCACAAAUGUCGCACUGCCAUGCAUCCUGAAACAAGCAAAGAAUGUGCAAGAAAUAUAUAAAAAGGGUAAGAUAGCCUUGUCAUGCUAAGAUAUACAUAACAAUAUAAGCAUAUUUUCUUUGAAAAAAAUAUAUGGUUUUCUGUUUUUUUCAGUUACAAAAUGAUAUUUUUUCAGAUGGAAGUUCAUCCAAUGAUCAGAAUUGUACAAAUUCAAGAAACUUUUAGAAAGCUGAUAUGUCGAAUAACAAUGGAUAGAAAACAUUAUAGAUAGAAUAGACAACAGAAUUGUAUACACUAGAGCAGGUGGCUUUAAGGCACACCAUUGAUGCAAUUACAAAGCCUACAUUUAUAGAGAAAAUAAUCUGGUCCUUCAAUGGGAGAAAAGCAUGGUCUUUAUGGAGUAUGAAAUACCAAGAUGAUAAAAAAAUGAAUGCCAUCAAUCUUCUCCUUCUGGUUGAGUAGUGAGCCACCAGGAACAAUACUACCAAAACCCUACUUUCACAUCACAUUCUAAAUGUCAAUCUAGAUGUUGUUUUAAUUUGCUCUAACUAUUUCUAUGCAUUUUUUAUGCAUUUGCAAGCAGGCAGUCAGAUAAGUGUUUUUCCUGCCCAUGUAGACAAACAUGCAUAUGUUGAUUCUGGGAUGUCAAGCUCUCGACAAAAUACACAAUAACAACCAUUGAGUUGAAGAUGUAUGAAAUACAAGAAACACUUACCACAGCCAACUGUGGGAAUACACCAAGGGCAUGAUUGCCCAUAUUAUCAUACAAGGACAAACACCACCGUUUCUUAGCUCGUACUGCAAAAUACUCAGCCACAAACUUCCUCCAGUAUAAUAUAGAAUUAUUCUGCAAAGAGAAGAACUUUGUUAGGACACCUCGAAAAAUGUGACAAUGAUAUGAGUGUCAAUCAUGUGAACAUAUCAAAUCGCAGGGCAUAUGCAAGAAUCAGCUCACAGGUGACCGAUGACGCUGGUGAUACAAAUAUUGCAUAAGCCUGCGAGAACAUAUUCCAUUAUCAAAGGGGCGCUUAACAGGAGUAACUGGCUGAAGAGUCUGAGGUUGCACAUGGUGCCACAAUUGCUGUUGCUGCUGCAAGUUGAUAGGGGCUUGUUGCAUCUGAGAAAAGGAUUGAAUUAUCUGCUGCUGCUGCUGCUGCUGCUGCUGCUGCUGAUGUUGCAUUAGUCUCUGCUGUUGCAAAUAAGCAUGCAGCUGUGGGUUUUGCUGGCCCUGCAGCUGCAUAGGGUCAUGUCUCUGCAUAAGCUGUUGAACCAACUGCUUCUGCAGGAUAUCCUCUUGCCUUAUAUCAAGCUGCAUUUUUUUCUGAGCAUUCAUUAUAUUUGGGGUUUCCCGUUGUGUUAACUGGGAUGUUGCUGUUGAGAGCCCUUGUUUUCUCACGUGCUCUUGGAGAGGGCUCUGCUGCACAAUGGAGCAACCAUCCAUCACCGAAGAACCCGAGAUGUUGGAGGAGAAGGACAUGGGCGAGGCAGGGAUACGCAUAUAUGACUCGUUGUUGAAGCUGGUGCUUCUUUGCAACUGAGCACCACCAGAGAGUGUUGAGUUGGCGUCAGUGACGAGGGAGCUGGCACCAACGCUUGGACCGGAGGAGUUUCCCCUGCUGUUUAGUAUUUGGUUCAUGUCACCAGAAGCCGGUCCAAAACCAGAGCAGUCGUUCCCUGACAUGGAGCUCACAGGAGCAGGGUUCUGGCCACCAUCGCCCUGGAAGAAGAUGCCAGAGGCGGAGGAAGAUUGGGACGGACCUCCACCUCCAGCGGUGACCCGCGAAGAAGCCACUGGGGGAGUGGGGCCCAACUGGCGGGUGGAAUCCAAGCACCUAUCCAGCGCCAGCCCUCUCUUGAACAGCCCUCAGUAGAAGAAAUCGGAACGUAAUCGCCGCAGAUUCAACAAAAUACCCACCUUUCUUGCUGCCAAUUGCAUCCAAACGUAGUAGAUCGAACUUGAAAGUAAUCAACACCAAAUGCAGAUAAACCGCUAUGAGACCAAAUCAAAUAGUCAAAUACUAAUAACCACAAUCGCAACUUUCACGAAGAAAGCAACGCAAUUGAACGUAUUGCGCCUUAAUUAUCACAUAACAAGAUCACGAGGAGGAAAAUAAGGCAUAAACCCUAAUUUCUUCCCGUGCGAGUGAGCGAUAAAGAAAUCCAACAGGCCUUGACAACGCCCCGAUCAGAAAUUUAUCACAACAAUUCACCCCUGGCGAACUGGAAUAUGUAUCAUCUCAAAGCAUAAGAAAAAACGACACUUUUGAUGAAUAAUCGAAGAAAAGACGGAAAAUCUUGGAAGAGAUUCUUCAAACAAAGUAAGUAAAGCAACGAGCUGGCUACAGCGCUUACCCUUCGAACCCCAACCAGCAUCCACUGACAAGAAAAUAUCUGAAAGACCGAAGGGAUCAAUAGUGACGCUUCGGUGCUCCUCUUCCUCUCUCGCCCCUUUCUCGCGGCGGCGCCGACCGACGAGCGGGUCUAUUUAUCCGUCGCGGGAACUAGAAGAGGGUGGUGACCAGUGGGCAACCAUAGUUAACCGGCUAUAACCGGUUACCUCGAAACCUACGUGUCACCAUCUUACUGUCCUCUUGUCGUGUUGAUAAUCUCAAGGCUGCGGUGUGAUGCCUCUGAUCGGACCUGACACGCCGCGCACGAUGAUUGGUCGAGGCCAAGAUAUCUAAACCGGAGGGUGGCAACUGCAAACCGCCGACUCACACUCCUGUCGCCACGCACCCGUAACGUCACCACUCUGGACCACUUAGGUGGGUCCCACCUAAGCCAUGGCAAUUGGAGGUACAAAAAUUGGUGUCAUAUUCAAGUAAAAUGUCAUGCACGUGCGUGACCUAUUCUUAAAUAGCAUUUCCCGAGCUCCGAAACGUUAUCUCCUGACGUAAUACUCGUCGUACCCAAUUCUACUUACCGUAAAACGUCAUGGUGGGCCCACGUUCCAUUUCCAAUUAUCUGGCAGGUACAUUUGUGGGUUACGAAACGGAUAGAUAAACUAGUUUCAUUACAUUACAUCUGCUCUGAUUUUAUCCUAAAAUUUAUUGUUGUUUAAAAGCCUAAUUAUUUAUUUAGGCACCGACUUCGAUAGUUAAUUCAUGGAUGCUUCUUUCUUGGCAAGCAAGUUUAGGUCCAUUAGAAGGUUGUUCUUUUCCAUUAGAAGCUUACCAUUACUUGGAUUACAGUGGUGUAUUCUUUUUUGAAUAAAUAUUUUUUAAUUUUAUUGUGAAUGAUAAUAAGACUAUAAACCUAAUAAUCGAUAUUAAUCAAUGGACCUUAGGAUAUGACCGGUGGAACAGAAACAUAUGACGAAUAUAAUAAAUAUUAUAGGAACGUUACUUACCUUUAAAUUCAAUUUCGAAUUGAUCAAGGGGGAUCCAAACCCGAUUUGAACGGAUCAAAUAGAUACAGAUUUCGGAACUCGAUGCAAUGGCAUCCUUAUCGGGCUUCCCUGACUCGACAACACGGGUUUGGAUCGAUCCCCGAUGAUUGAUCCAAUAAGUUGGCGUCUCAUGUAACGGAUCCUUCAUGAUAUUAUGCGGGUUUUGACCCUAUAUGGAUCCGGACACGAUACUGAUGUGGCUUAGGACGUAUCGAAUGGUCCUCUCACUCGUCGGCCCAUCGACUGGUCGGCUAGCGUCGCAGCAAAGAAGCGACUUCCCGACCCCUCGCUCCCGGCGAUGGCGCCGACGGCGGGAAUCGGGGUCACUGUCCUCCGGCGCUUGCCCGGGGCGUUCCACGGGCAUCGACUGCCCCAGCGCGAGGUGAGAUUUUUGCUCCAUUGAUGCUUCUUGUUGAUCCACUGGUUUAGGGUUUGAAGUUGGAUUCGUAAUACAAGGCAGCAAUGCUAAAGUUGGCAUGGUAACAGAGCUGACAACCAUUGCCUAAUCUAAAUCAAGUGUAUGCCUCAUGUCACUCGCACAAUGAAGCUUGCCACUAUUAGAUUACCUUGUUGAUAUACUUGAGAUUUUUUGCAUAGUCCAAAAUAUGGUGUUCGAUGUAUACUUAGUGAUGUUAAAACUCCUCGUCAGUGUAGGUUCUAGGAUGGAUGACAUUUAGAUUUUACAGCAUAUGGUUGAAUGCCUUCAGUGAACCUGAAUAAUUUCUCGAUGCUGAUUCUACAUGAUACUGGGGGAGAACACUCUGAUGCCAAAAUAGAAAUUCAAAAAUCAACAAUAAAGUACAAAUCAGAAAAGUUGGCACAAGAUUUAUGUAGUUCAACACUCCUUACCUAUACCCAUGGAGUAAAUCAAAAAAUUCAUCACAUGAAACCAAGUUCAAGUUCAUUUGAGUUAAUCCCAUAUCAGACACAAAUCUCCUUAUACACAUGAAUCAAAAGUGUCUUCUCACACCUCACCAAUACCUGGAGAAACAUAGAUAUAUAUAUAUAAAAUAAUAUAAUCUUAAUUUUCAAGAUUUUCUCCCUUCACGAAGUGGUCUUUUCAUACUUGAGUUUCUUAUUCUCUAAGGGCAUUGGCACUAGAAAUCCAAAAAUACUUAACAACCCCAAUAUGAAUAUCAAAUAGAAAUGUGAUAUCUUUAUUCUUCCAUAGUGCUUGAGGUAAGCAUGUCAGAGUGCACAGAUAUGUGAGGUCUUGGAGAGAAGAAAACAAAUUCUUAUCUCCCAUAAUAGAACAAAAUGAGAUUAAAGAUGGUUACACCGCAACAUGGUACAUGAGUUCAAUGUCUGGGCUUUGCCUACCUGCUGUCUUCAAGAAUAAUGUCUGGCUCGCAACACAUACUGUGCUAGCCCAGGGCUAGACAAUGUGUUUUGCAUGCAGUGAUGCAGCUCAUAUAUCCUUGAUCAUGCUUGUAUGCUUAUUUUUGGUGGCAUACAUAGUAAAUUUUUUAAGGCAAAUUGAAAAGCAAUAUAUUUCAAAUGCUUGCAAUGUUAUAAUCUGAACCCUGCAUUCUCAGAAAUAGCAUUCUGGUCCCGAAAUAUUUUAGUGUGUUUAUGGUGGUAUAUCACAAUGACCGACAUGGUUUUAUUACACCCAGGGGUCUGAUGAGUUCCUGAGAGGCAAAGUAAGAUAAGAUUGGGAGAUUCAGGGGACGGGAUAUAUGUGGCUUGCUGAUUAUGAUUAAUCUUGACUGCUGAUAGUGAAUUUUGAGGACAGCUUUCUACCGGAGUCAACAUGCAUGAAGCUUGCUGCUAUUUCAAGUUUAACCAAUAAUUUCACCGGGGCAGCUGCAGAACUCUUCAAUCUAUGUUGCAUGCAUCAAAAAUGCAAAAAUUACUUUGCAGUUCAGUCCAGUGUGGCAUGCUGGAAUAUUCAUGUUCUAGGCUACAACCCGAUCCAACCAAAACCCUAAUGUGUCUAAUCGUUAUGGUUGGUCUAAAUCUUUAUGACGUUCUACGUGGUGGUGGAAAGUGGUAGUGCAGUUAUUUUAAGGGAUAAAAUGUUCUCUCUUUUAUGCACAGUCAUUUGUAUUGCUGCUUUUAAUCUUCAAGAGGCAUAUUUUUUGGCUGACUUGGUGGCCAACAAAAUCUAGCUGUCAUUGCAUUUUGAUGAUGUUGACUACAAGUUUUGGUAGGUCAUAGGCAUUAAUUUUAGACUAUAGAGACUUUUUUUUUCCAAAAUUUGAUUGGUUGGCAAUUGUGGGCAACCAUUUUCUCAUUUUCUUAAAGAAUGACCUUGCAUGUGCACAUGGGGACAACGGUUAAUUGCAUUUAUAAUGAUUUGGUCUAUAUUUUAAAUAUUCUCAGGGUUUCCAUGAAUGCUGGGUUGUUUCUUGAUCUUUUUGUUAUGACAUCGUUUUUUUUCCUUAGUGUGAUUGCCAGUCUAAUCUCAAGAAUCUAAACUAGUGUCAUGAAGGUUUCAAUAGAAGUUGUGUAUUAGAGUAUUCAAACAUCACCUGGAAAGAAAACUGUAACACUACAUAAUGGAAAAAUAUUAAUUUGAACACGAUGAUCAGCUUAAAACAAAAUUCUUAGUGCAAUGAAAUAAUCUUCUUAAACAAGCUACGGAUGGCCAUUAACUUACCAACCAAAUUAGAAACUACAUCCUUAGUUGUUGUUCAAAGUGCUGAUACCAUGUCGACAUUACAUUUAUCUAUGCUCAACAUAUUUGUAAUAAACAAACAAUUUACACUUAGGAAAGUAUAGUUCAGAAUUGUCACUGAUUGAAGCAAUUUGACAUGUUUGGGUGAUAUUUUACUUGUUCUAAUCUCUAGAAUGAUGUCAUUAUUUAAACUCAAAACUUAGGCCUUUCUCUCUGUUUAAAUAUUUAUUUCCUUACAGUUCAUCAAUAUCUUUUGUCUGACUUAAUAAAUUACUAUGAGAUGACUUCAACAAUCAAAUAGACUCAUUUGCUAGUAUCCUCUGUGAUCAGAAAAUGAAUUAGCCUAUGGACCAACAAAUAUUCAUGCAUGUGCUACCUAUCUAGCAUAAGGACAUAAUUGUUGUGUUAACUAAUCAUGAUUGUUUUAUCUUAGUUGGAAUUAGGUAACAGUAACCAACUGUUUUCAAUGUUUGUUCUUGUGUAUGUUGCUUUGUAAUCAAGUAUCAUUGUAACAGCUAGGUUGUCUCCUUCAUUCUCAUCAAGAAUUCCUCAUCACAUACCUAUGGCAUUCAAUGAAUGUAAGAUCAAAUUUCCCUUUCGGACAGACAUGUCAACCACUACUGCCUUCCACUCAAUAGAUUCCAGUGUCUAGCUUACACUGAUUCAAUUGAAACUCCUUGCUGCGAUAUUAGUAUGUAUGUCGGCAUCAGAUGUAGAUGGAACCAAUGUGAUACACUAACUGCAUCAGUUAGUCGGUUCAAGCUAUAGUGGAUGGCCUCAAUAAUCUGGACCACUGGCCUACAAUUGUGAGUGUGGUCUUCAUCCCCAGCAACAUCAUGCUCCAUGGCUUGAUUGGAGAUGGAGACUGCUCGACAAUGUUUGAGAUCUCAGCACCCACCCAAAUGUGAUAUUCAUAUUAGAGGUUCCACAUUUGGGUUUCCUGUUCUUUUUCCACCCUGGUUUUCUGUUGAAAGAACCUGUAACAAGUAACAUUAGCUUUUAGAUUUUCAUGGAGUGGAUUAUAGGAGCAAGAGAGUCUAUGAAUUUGACCCUCCAAUAACACAUGUUUUAUGGGCGCCUCAUAUAAUAGUCCUUUCUUGCUGUGGCUUCAUCAGAAUAAAAGUUAAUGGGGCCAACUAGCAGUAAAGAAAAGAUGCAUUGUUGUCCUAUGUAACCAUAUUAGUUGUCCUCCAUGUGGUGGAAGUAGUAGCAGUAGUAGUACUCUCAGGAAUAUUAGACCCUUUAAUAAAAGGUCACAAGACAUCUUAAGAUCACCAGUAAAGAAUAAUACAUACUUGCUUUGGGUUUACAAAGAGAAACCAACCAAUUUAUAAAGGUGAGAAAAUAUCCCUACAUCUUGUAUAACAUAUAACAAUGCAUGUCCUAAUGUUUGAUAAAGCUACAAGUUAUUUUAGUGAAACAUGAAAGCAUACUGCAAAUUUAUGAGGCUUAAUUAGAGGAGUGUGCAGUUCAAUUUGAAGAUAAAUUGUUAUCUACAAGUUCUCUACAUCUGGUCAAUUUAUUAUACUUGUCUUGUGGAUGUCUAGAGUUCCAACUUAUCAUCAAUGUCAAUUUUGCUUUAUCUCCCUAAGCCUUAGGCUACAAUUAUAAUCCCUUGAACCCUAAAGGUAAAUGCACCAUAUGGGGGAUAAUCCAAAAACCCAUUUGUAAUUUGAAGUAUUAAAAAUAAAUGUUUAUUAUGUUAUGGAGGAACAAAAUCUGACUUUUGUUUUAGAUGAAACCUUGGUGAUCUUCAUGUGAAAUUUAGAAGGACCAUCGGUACUAAUAAUCAAAAGACUGCUAUCAAUGAUUGAAGGCUACUAGGUGUCUCUAAUGUAUUAUUCAUUUGGGUUUGUGCAAAUAUAAAUAUUAAUCGAAGAAUAUUGUAGUUAAAGUAAACCUUGCACAAGUAGUGGGUGAAGAGUGCUCUCUCUGUGUCUUCAAUCAGAUUAUUUGUGUAUGAUUGAACUGGCUUAAUAUAUAAUGAAUUGGUAUGAAUACUGUUCCAAGUUGUUUGUUGAAGACGAAGAAGAAGACGACAACUUUAGGUCACCCAUUGCCCCCACUAAUUUAAAUGGUCAUUAAUUAAGAUGACCUAACUCUACUAUUAAAUCACUUUCUUCCACCGCAAGAAGGAAGACACGAUGUAUACCGCAUUGUUUGUUUUCCACCACAUGAAGAAAUACAUACAUGCAUUCGAAACGUGAAGUCUACCUACCUCUCUUCUCCAUCACCAGGUUAUUAUGAUGAUCUUACUUUUUGAGUAGAUGUGUUCGAUACAUUGUUUUCAUAGUACGAAUGUACUUUGACAGCUUACUGAACUCUUAAGCGGCUGUUUAUUUUGCAAUUGUUUUCUGUUUAUUAUAUAUCGUGAUUUGUCGUUAAAAUCAAUCGCGAGGUCGGUACGCGGUCGCCAAAUCGGACGGUGUAGAGGGCCCCACCGUCGGUUUUUAUGGUGGUGGACCGUCUCUUUCGGAUGGCGUGGUCGAGAGGGAGAUUGACGGCUCCGGAUGACCCACGUGGCACUGCCAGCGAAGAACCUCCUCCCGCUGUCGGUGGCUGACCUCGGGGCCCGGUUCGCCCCCCCGAUGGAAAGGAAAAGACCGGACCGGGUUGAUCUUUAUUUUUCUUUUUACCUUGGGCGACGACCGACACGCACGUUACGAUGUGGCCACUUUGUUCUUGCUGCCGAUGCUUGCGAGCUCAUGAUGCACCGGUGAGAUCAGAGCGCGAAUGAUGGCUUGUUGUGGCAAAGCAGAACAGGAAGCGUCGGGUCACGCAUCGUGAAGUGUUGUUGGAUGGAAGCUUCGGGUGUGGUAAGAGUUUGGUGGGUGAUUGCUUUCGCUUUCUGUGACCUGUUGCUCUGCUUGGUGGUGCUGGUGGUGGUGGUGGUGGUGGUGAGGUUAAGAUUGAAGCCAAGUUAAUCUCUCUAUCCUCUCCAUUCUUUAUAUAUUGGCUUCUUCUUGCUUAGCAAUUUUUUUAUUGCUGGUAGUCGUCUUCUAUUUCGUGGCUGCUGCUCUUCUGAAGUAGAUCUAUCCGAGUCCAAAACGUUGCGGCGAUCUUUGGCAGAAGCGCAGAGCAGCCGCAAUGGAUUCUGUUUGCAGUAGCUUUUGAUCGCAUCGUAGUUUGCGCUGCUGUGCAUCUUCCGGGGAGGGUAGCAGAAUGCCGUCGAGGACAGGAUAUGGAGCUGCGAAGCAGGUGGUGGUGGAGGAGAAGGGUGCCGAAUGGGAGGUGACUCCCGGCGGAAUGGUGGUACAGAAGCGCGAUCCCGAGUCCGGGCCACCCGCUGCCGUCGUCCCGACCAUCCGUGUCAAGGUCAAGCAUGGCUCCGUCUACCACGAGAUCUACAUCGGCUCUCAGGCCACCUUCGGUAACGAUGAGACUCGUGAUACCGAUGAUGAUCGCAGUGUUCCGUGUUGCCUUUUCCUUCUUCUCCGGCCUUACAAGCUGAUGAUGAUGGCUUGGCAGGGGAGCUGAAGAAGAUGCUGUCGGCGCGUAUCGGGAUGCAUCCGCUCGACCAGAAGCUGAUCUACAAGGACAAGGAGCGGGACUCCGCCGCAUUCCUCGACACCGCCGGCGUGAAGGACCGGUCGAAGGUAGUGCUGGUGGAGGACCCGACGGCGAAGGCGAAGCGGCUGCUGGAGACGCGCAAGACCGACAAGAUGGAGAAGGCAGCCAAGUCCAUCUCCGCCAUCAGCAUGGAGGUCGACAAGCUGGCGUCCAAGGUACUACACACAUCUCCACCCGCAACCCCGCAGCAAGAAUCUCUCGGCUAUGUUGGUGAUGCAAGCAUGGAUUCGCAGGUGUCGGCGUUGGAGGCGAUCGUGAACAAAGGCGGGAGAGUGGUGGACCAGGACGUGGUUCGGCUGAUCGAGUUGUUGAUGAACGAGCUGCUCAAGUUGGACGGCGUCGUCGCCGACGGGGACGUGAAGCAACAGAGGAGAUUACAGGUGGACUAAACGUGUUCUUUAUGUGAGCUUCUGCGGUUUGGAUCUCAACUGGUGGAAGUAAACGAGCACUUCCGGUGCAGGUUAGGAGGGUCCAGAAGUAUGUGGAAACGCUCGAUCUGAUCAAGAUCAAGAAUGCAACGCCGAGAGCCAAUGGGCAUGUCCAUCAUCCUCAACAGCAGCAGCAGCAGCAGUCUCAGCAACACCAGCAGAGGCAGCAGCCACCGCAAUCGGUGGUGGUGACCACCGCGAACUGGGACACAUUUGAUUCCUUGUUCAUGCCAUCCACCUCCACGCCGGCCACCACCGCCACCUCCACCGCGUCAUCCACCCCCACCACAAGGUUCGACUGGGAGCUGUUCUGAUGUCUCCGCCACGAGCAACUCAGCAGAAUCAACAGCAGUACGUCCUCGCUCGCUUGCUCUCCGUCGCUACUAUUCUUUUGUGUGCAUACCUCCAACUACAUAAGAAUAAAUGGAUUCAUGUCAAUAUGUUGUAUCAACCAUUUCAAGAUACAUACUCUUUUUAUGUCAGAGAAUUUUUGUUCACGGUAUGUAUGUGCAGCAUCAAAUCUUUUCCUUUUUCCCCUUUUUUUGUUUUCUAAGCUCCAAAAGCUAGCAAGCAAAAUGAUUGCAGAUGCAUUGAAGAAAUACAAGUGGCGAGUUAAUGGUCUUAUUAUAUGCUCAUCAUUUGCAUUUCUUUAUUCGAGCAUGGUAAAAGUAAGACUCAAGAACAUGAGUUGGCUUUGUCUCGAUGCCUUUCUUGCCAAUAAAGACCACGAACGAUCUGACGUACACUGCAAUCACAGUGAUCUCAUGAUCUACAAGUGGUCAAAGCAGGGUCACAUGAUCUACUGGUUAGAUUGAAUCUUGCAUGGUGCUACUGUUGUUCUCCAGGCUCAACAUCGAUGGAAACAGCCGUACUCUAUGAAAGCUGGUGAUGUGAUAGAUUUCAAUGAAUCCAAACAACUUUUUUUCUGGAAGACAGCAGGACAUGUUUUGUAUCCACCUGCGACCGGGGUUGAAUCCAGUUCAGCCAUCAUCCACACCAUAUCUUGGAUGUGAGCUGCUUCCACCCACCUUUUGACCAUUUCUUCUCUUUCUUCCAUCUUCUUUUAUCCGAGCACUUGAAUCCUUUCUCUUGUUAUGAAGGCAUAUAAUGCAGUCUACUGAUUUCGUACCAGUUGAUAUGUCAUGGAAUUUUUGAACAUUCCCCCUCUAUCGACCACCACCACCACCAUCUCUUUUUCAUCUUCCAAAUGAUUGGAUUGUGGAAGUUGGCCGAAGAGAUGAACAGUAGCAAAAGGUUUUUGUUUCCUGUCGAGAGGUUGUUUAUGUGAUACAGAAACCAAAUCACUAGCCCAGUAAAAUUAGAUUGUGCUGUGGGUUUUAUUUUUUAUCCUUAAAAUAUCACGUCUCGACGACGACGACUGUUAACUUGAGCUUAAGUAUUUUGGACGUACGAUCAUCCGAUCUUAAUCUUGUUAUGCCUCAAAUCCACUUGGUUAUAGUAUGUCAUGGGUUGUAAACGAUCGAUGGACUUGUAUCAUCGACUUGGGAACAAAAAGUUCUUAAAAGAAUCUAUCAUGAGCUUUCUUGAUUCAGGAGUUGAAUCAAACAAAACAUGAGCUUUCAGCUGUAUCAUUGGAGAAGGCUGUGAUAUCCUGUUCUUCUGUAUUGGAAAUGAUGAUCGAUGAAACCACCGAAAGAUAGUCUAGCCUUUAACAGAUGAAUAACAAAAGGAAAUAGUUUUGGUUGCAGACUACAGCCGCUCCUAUCAUAUUGGACUGAUGAACAUAGUAAAUUUGGUUCUGUAAAUUAUGUUAACCAACAUUGCUUAGACAAAAUAAUGAUUGAUAUGAAAAUAUCCAAGAAUGUCAUAUCAUAUCUUAUAAUAGACUUUCUGAAUCAGGUUUACUUAUGAUUUGAGUUAAAGUAUUCAAAAAAUAAAAAGAUAAAUAAUAAUAAUAUUUUAGCCAUAAACUCAAAAUAGAAACUUCAAACAGAUUGACAACACUCCACUAAGUGGCUCUCAAGGUUUUUAUCUUAUCUUCAUGUCUCCUCCUCCCUCGGUAUGCUCUUUCCCUUCAUUACUGAUAAGAACUCCAUAGUAAUACGUGAUAAAGGAUCAUUUGGUAUGCUCUUCCUCUUCAUUAACGAUAAGAAUUUUACAGUGGUAUAUGAUAAGUGACCAUUUGAUCGAUCGAUCAUGCUCCUUUAAGGAUAAGGAAGACCUGGUGAUUUUUUGAGCUCGUAGGUUCAUAAGUAUGGCCCGUAGGCUCACGAGGAAUUGUCCGUUUUGGACAAUGGGCGUAUCUACACGAUUUUAUCUUUUCGAAACAUGUGAGCUUCGAAAGGUAUAUUCGAGGGUAAGGAAGAUCCGACGAAUUUAUAAGUCUUUAGUUCUCAUACCCCCUAAUUAACGUGACACUAGCCAUGGCACAUGUGAUCUUAUCAAUUCGUAUACACAUGCAUAUAAGCAUCUCUAGCCAUGGCACAUGUUUGUUUCAACUCACUGGUGCACUCAUUCCCAUGGCCACUUUGUGUCCUAUGAACGGCACAAAAAAAAGUCAACACCCUUCUUCCCAAAGGCAACAACAUCAACCUCCAAAAACACUUCAAACUUACUCAUAGGUUAACCCUAUUCAUAUAUAUGUAAACCAAAACAUAGGGAUCGAUGCAUACAUAUCUCAUGUCCCUAUUAUAAAUGUCGGUCUUGAAAUCAUGAUCUUCGAACUACAUCUGGAUUGUCUUAUUAUUUCUAUUUUUUACUAACCAUGUGCAAAGUACUAAUCAUGUUUGCUUUCAUCAACAUCAACAUGAUAUGACCAUUAUUUCCCUUCACAUAUCUUCAAACCCCUUCAAUGGUUGGCUGCAGUUGUAAUUUUAUAUUGCUUCGGAUAAAUAUCAUCAUACCAACUCUUACUAAAUCUCAUUAAUCGUGGCCAGCAAGACUUUUAUUGUGCACGUCGUUCUUGACGCCAUAAAUCUUGAUUGUUAGUCAACUUUUGACUUUUCUGUUUUAAUAUUAUUAGUCAACCUCUAACUUUUUAUACCACACAAGAGAUCACAUGUCACAUGAUUAAUUAUAUAUAUAUAUUUGUUUGCCAACUAAAAUAAAUCUUUAUUGUUGUUCGGAGAAAAUAUUAUUGACAUCCUGAUCAGUUCGACAUGGUCCAGACUUGUGUGCACACGAAUAUCUGAAAUGUCUUAAAAGGCAAAAAGAUUGUAUUCCCAAUAUGAAAAUAUGAAGCUUCCAAUUUUGAUGUAUUAUACUCCUGUCACUUGCAUGAAGACUGAGGUCGAGAGGAGUUUUCUGAACCGAUCCCUCCAACGAUCAAGUAAGGAAUCUAAUGUUCGAAAAUAUGAUUUCGAAUAAUUCAAAAGAAACGAGUUAUAAUUUUAUUUUCAUAUUUAAAAUAUAUUUUUAUAUCUUUGAACGAAGAUAAUGAUCUUUGUUUGUCAUAAAGAAUAAAGAAUAAGAAUGAAGUUUAGGAUUGUCCUCCUUAUUGUAAAUGAAGCGAAGGAAGUUUGUAAUUAUCUUUCUUUCUUAUCAAAUUCUAGAUGUAAAAUACUUAAAUUUCAAUCGCAUGUCAAUUAAUGAUAAAUUCCCUAUCAAUCACUUAUCAUUUACUCAAUUAAUAUAGAAUAUUUAUAAGAAAAAAAUUAAACUUCAUACAACUAUUAGAUUUUUUUUUUUGAAUAUUUAUAUCUAUCAAACUCACAUAAACUAGAUUUUGGUAACCUUAAAUUAUAUUUUGGAUGAAUUGAUUGACAAGUGUAAAUCAUAACAGCAUAACAAUGUUACUCGGAGGACAACAAUUUCAAAAAUGGAAGGAAAUCUUUGCUAAUCAAUGUUGGGUUUGCUCAACAAAUACCUUAUUAUGUAUCUAAAGAUUUCUACUAGUAUAAUACAUAGUCGAAAGAAUGAAUGUGAGUUAUUUUUUUAUGUUAAAAAUUUUAUUUUUAUCCAUGGACAUAUAUUAAAAAAUCAAAAUAUGUAAAUAUUAUUUUAUAAUUUUUAUAAUUAAUUUUUGAUUUUAUUUUUUUUAUACAUCGAGUUAUUACCAACAAAUUCAUACUAAUUUUUAAUCGGUAAACCCAUACGUCAACAACACACACCUCUAACUUCAAUUCAAUAAUAAUAAUAAUAAUAAUAAUAAUAAUAAUAAUAAUAAUAAUAGUGUCGUAUUAACCUCUCUUAAUCAAAGCAUUUAAUCUUUCGAUUGCACGACUUCCAAAGACAAUAAAACCAGCAGACGCCAUGGAAAAAAGAGCAACAGGGUUAUCACUCGUCCAAAGUUACUCGCCUUAAUUACCUUUCUUAUCAUCGGAAACGGACGGGCAAAAACCCGUAGAGUUGUCCAAUCACAGAACGGGUAAUACUUCGAGUACGUAAAGCAAUGUAAGAAAACAAUUUCCCACAUAAGACGCCGCGCAGAUCAACACGCGUCCGUGCGCUUCCCACCCGACUCCCCACGCGGCAAUGCUUCCAAAACCGGUCGCCGUUAUGGAACGGGAGCCCUCCGCAACCGUUGGAUCAUCAGUAUGAACGGACAAGAUCGCACGAUAAGACGUGGUGUGUUGUCUCCGUGUUCCCCCCGCGUGGCGUUUUUAGCCGACCAUCUUCCUCGCUUCUCUGAUCAUAGCCGUUCACAUGUAUCGGACGAUAUAUAAAGCGCUUUUACUUUGCGGAGAACAUAACAGCGAAAUAUCGUACCGCGUCGCUAUUAAUUCUUUCCUUCCCUUCCAUAAGAAGCUCGCCUUCCUUAAAAGCAGACGACAGGGGAAGGACGGGAAGAAGAGGAAGCGAGGACGAGACAAUAGGAAGAGGAAACCGAUCGAGAUAUAGAGGGAGACAUGUCGUGAUAACGAGGAGGAGAGGAGAGAGGUUUCCGGAUUGGUGUUCGUUUUGUAUCACUGUCUCAAUCCUUAUUUCGGUUGAAUCAAGAGCGUGAUUCUUUUCUUGCCUCCUGCUCUCUCCUUUUAGUGUUUGGGACCAUGAGUUAGUUCUUCGGUGGUAAAAUCCAAUCCUUUUGUUGUGUGUGUGUGUUUGAGAGAGAGAGAGAGAGAGAGAGAGAGAGAGAGAGAGAGAGAGAGAGAGAGAGAGAGAGAGAGGAGAGAGAGAGAGAGAGGNNNNNNNNNNNNNNNNNNNNGAGAGAGAGAGAGAGAGGGAUGAAAGGAGAGGGGCAGUCGAGGUCUCUGUUUGGGAUACCAUUGACAGAGAGGCCCAAAUGGCAGCAGUUUCUCUUGUGUUCCUCCGGGUUCUUCUUUGGCUUCCUCAUCAAUGGCAUUUGUGAGGUAGUUUACUGCUGUUGCUUUCUGAAUUUGUUGUUGUCUAUGUUAAUCAUGCACAGAGGAUCAAAAUUUAUUCUUCUUCCUACAUUCACAGUGCGAAAAUUCCAAUCUUGUUCUUGUUUCUCGCGGUGACUACGCAAAAAUUGCACCAUUCUUCGUUUUUUGAUGCAGUCAUGUGAACUUGGAGAGAUUCUUUCUUCCUCUAUGCUUCCCUUGCCAAACUUUUUCUUGUUUAUUCACGAAUGUGUGGAAACGUUCGAUCUCAGUUUUCUUUUGCGACUUCAAGAGUUUGAUCUUUAGGUAUUAGUACAUAUUCUUCUGAGGGUUUCCUUUGCUGCAUGCAUGCAUGCAUUCACCCUGUAAUCUUUUCAGCAUAUCUAAUUGUGCUCGAUUUCCUCUUUUUUUACUUUUUGUUUCAGGAAUAUGUGUACAAUCGUUUGCAAUUCAGGUUAUAUUCUCAGUGCUUUCUAUCUUAAUCUACUCUAUAUGUUGUUCAAUCUCUAGUUUUGAUCUCAGUAGUGAUCAUGUUUCUUUGCAGCUACGGCUGGUACUUCACCUUUGUGCAAGGAUUUGUGUAUCUGGGGCUCAUACACCUGCAGGGCUUCACCACCAAGCAGAUGGUGAAUCCAUGGAACACGUAUGUCAAACUGUCUGGUGUUCUUAUGGGAUCACAUGGACUGACCAAAGGAUCUCUGGCCUUCUUGAACUACCCGGCACAGUUGAUGUUUAAAUCUACCAAGGUCUGGCUUCACAUGUUCUUCUGAUCUCCAUUAAAGUCUUCCAGUUUUUCUUGGUUCAUGCUGCAUUUGUUCUUGAAUGUUGCAAACGUCGAAUUGAUGGUGCAUUGUGGUGUUUAAUGCUCUCAUAGUUUAAUUCAUACCUCAACUCAGUUGUCAGGUGUCAACAUGCAUGGAAUCCAAUUUGUGGUUCUCAAGAUACUCACCAUGUGCUUACUUCUCAAGUCAAUCACUCAAAUCUAGAUUAGCUCUUUUGAACCAUGUGCUAGUUUGCUUCACAUGACAGUGUUGCACGUCUGUUCUUUCCUAAUGUAUUGUUUGAUGCAUUUUUUAUUUUGGGAAAGAAGAGGUUUGCAUUCAGGAAACACACUCACCAUGGAUUCUCUGUGAAUUGUGUGGUUUUGGAUGCCUUCUUGUGCACGUCAGGUGUUGCCAGUGAUGAUAAUGGGAGCCUUCAUCCCGGGUCUUCGACGCAAGUACCCAUUGCAUGAAUACAUCUCUGCAGUGCUUCUCGUUGUGGGUCUCAUCCUCUUCACCUUGGCCGACGCCCAAACAUCGCCCAAUUUUAGCGUGAUAGGCGUGGUCAUGGUAUCGAGUGCCCUCGUCAUGGACUCCUUUGUUGGUAAUUUGCAGGAGGCUAUAUUUACUAUGAAUCCGGAGACCACUCAGGUAACUCAAGUUCUGUGUCCGCUCAUGUUCCACUAAAGAUCUUCUUGGCUCCCAUCUGUUGUGGGAACUACAUUUCUUAUCCUUUCUCACCUGGAACAUAUUGACGGUGUCACAGAUGGAGAUGCUCUUUUGUUCGACUGUCGUGGGGCUACCUUUGUUGAUCCCGCCUAUGCUUUUGACAGGGGAGCUCUUCACGGCAUGGAACUCAUGCAAAGAGGUGACACAAUUGAUCCUUCUUGUCCUUCUCCCCUUGUUUAGUUUAAGAAAACUGCAAAUGUAAGUUGUUAACAGUUGAAAUCAAGAAAAAUAUCAUUAUAUUGCAGGAAUCAUAUUCAAAGUAAAACAUGUUACCAUGAGAAUUUCUUCUCGGAAGAUCCGUUUUGUGAAUUUUGCUUAGGCUAAUAAAUUUGAAGUCUUGAACUGUAAAGCUGCACUCUUUAUAAAUAAUUGUGGCAAAAUAGAAUUCGCUUGUAAUGCUUGUCAUCAUAAUUUCCUCUAAAAUAUAUUACUUGAUACUAUUUUUUUGUAAACAUGUUUCCAUCAAAUUACUUCCAACAAAACAAAGGUGAAAAGUUGGACUUCAAUUAACAGACAUUUUUUUUCCAUCUUCAAAUGUAGCAUCUGUAUGUGUAUGCUGUUCUAGUGUUUGAAGCAAUGGCUACCUAUGUUGGACAAGUAUCGGUGCUGUCGCUCGUUGCGAUAUUUGGUGCAGCAACCACCGCCUUGGUACGAUAUCGGAUCUCCUAUUAUGAUUUAGCUGGUACAGAUUCAUGAUGCCAUAAAUAAGAAUUGCUUGUUCCUGUUCUUCGUAGGUAACUACAGCGAGGAAGGCAGUCACACUUCUACUAUCAUAUCUGAUAUUUACAAAACCUUUAACCGAGCAGCAUUGCAGCGGGCUUCUGUUGAUCGCGAUGGGAAUUGUUCUGAAGCUGCUUCCAGACUACAAAGAUUCAAAUCCACAGAAACAAAAGCGGAAGCAGCAACACCAUGAGGAUCACAUUGGGCAAGAUGAAGAGAGGAAUUCAUUAGUCUGAAGAACAGUAGAUUCUACUAAUGUUCCCAAUUUGUUUCUAGUGAGAAUAUGUCCACUAUGGUGGUGGAGUGCCUUCCCUCCUUUACUGCUGCUCUCUUUGAAAUCAAUGGCUCGGUUCAACUCAACGUAAACUACACUGCUGGUUGUCUGCAUAACCUUGUAGGUACUGUUCUCUAGGUUGACUAAGCUGGAGAGAGUAUAUUGCCAACAUAGAUUGGCAUAAUCUUCUCCAUGACUCAUGGAAAGGAAAUAAUUCUGUUCAUGAAGAAUUAUAUUGAGAGAUUGUUUUCAUGAUUUGAACCUUACUCAUUAUUACUUUGGCUUUAAAAAGUGUUAUUGGUUUGAUGUCUACAUAUCAAUGUACAUAGUCUUAGUCUUCUUACCUCUAAAUGUGGUUACGUUAUUUCUGUAACAGCAACAUACUGAUAUAAGAUUAUCUUAUGGUCAUACCAUAUGAUUUCUCUUCAACCAUCAUUUACUUGAGAGUUCUAAAUCUCAUUUUAUAAUUUUUAUAAAAUAAAAGAGUCAUAUUACAUCAAACAAAAGUUUAAGAUGGGUUAUACACAUAAUGUGUCACAAAAUGUUGGUGACCUCUCCAAAUAACACCUUUUGUUUCUUUGGUAAUAAAUGCUCUUCCAUCUUCACACAGGUUUACAUUCACUAUGUAGAGUAGCACCAACAAUGUCGAGACUACACCUUAGAGCAACAAUAACAUAACACUUCUCAACAUAUUGACAAGAAAGCAACUCAAUAUUGCCACAAGGGAUCCUCACAAAAAAUGUUUAGCUGCUUGAUAACAAUGACAUAGCUAUCUUCUUCCUUGGCUGAGCAAGAAAAACCUCAUCAAACCGCCAUUUUUGUUGAUGAAAGCCAGCACCUGGCAAGCAACGUUCAUAUCAUGAGAAGCAUCAAGCUGGCUAAACAAAUUUAGACCAGCCAACACUGGACCAGCAAAGAACCCAAAUUUUGGCAUAUUUUUACCAUGUCAUCAAGCAAACAGCCUGCACAAAGGAGGUUGAUGGUCCCACACAAAUCGCCAAAUGUGAUUCUUACACAAGUGAUUUACCACUGAUGCAUGGAGGAGAACACAGCACAUACAUUGCGGGGCUCUACUCUACCCACAACAACUUGGACAAAGAGAUGAAUGUUCAUCAAAGGUGCCGGCUUGUGACCAUAUGCGAGUUAUGCUGACAAACACAACAUGAAGUAGGAUCUCAAACGGGUUCGUCGAUUUGAGGUCUGCAGGAUGUCAACAUACAAGGGAGGACCUAAGGGACGGUGCACUUGAGAGGUGCGUGCAUGAUGCCCAACGUAUGACCGACUCCGAAACCACAAGAUCAAGCUGGUCACGCUCACCAAGCCCGAUGGUGUGGUUCCUUCUGCUGUGGAUGCCAAUGGCUCUGGAAUUAGUUCCG